ensembl:lncRNA
AAAAAUUAAAAAUAAAAGUCUCAAUAAAGCUGUAUUAUGCAUAGGAAUUUAAGCACUUUGCACAUAUAGUAUCUAUUCUGGUUUUGCUGUAGGAGCUCUUCAAACCAGAUUGAUGGCAGGAUGGACUACAGCUUCCAGGAUGGAGAUGCCAUACAACCAAUCAGCUUCCUAAAUGAGCUACGUCUGCCAACCACUACAACAGUUCUUCCAGAAACAACAACUGGUUUCUCCGUGACCCUUUCAAAUCUCAUAUCUGGUACAGCAGUGGUCACAAGCAAGCUGGUGUUCAACUCCUCAUCUCCAGUCCCCAGUGAAGCUCUGGUCCUCAGCGCUAUCAACACUCUCCGUCAUUCCAGAGAUUCACAGCUGAAUGAAUCAGUGAAGGUGGUGAAUGUCACCUAUGAGAAAAUUUCGGAAUCUUCCUAUGCUGUCAUUUUUAAAUUUAAUAUGAGUGACAUUAGUAUGCCAAUGGACUCUGGACUCAGAAACAACAUCUACCUGCAAGUACAGGAUACUAUCAAUAAAGCGAUAAACACUCUUCUGAAUGAACCUAGUAGUCCAGCUUUACAACCCAACUCAUCCAACUUUAAGAGUCCAUUAAAUCAGAUUGAGGGCAGUAUGGAGUACAACUUCCAAGAUGCAGAUGUUAGAAAACCAGUCAGGUUCCUACAGGCGCUUAGUUCAUUGACAGUCUUAACAACAGCCAGUACUCUGGCAUCAAGCUCAGCUUCUCCACCAACAUUGUUGGGGAAGGCUUAUAUAAAAAUCCUAUUGGUGUUUCACACACUGGGCCCAGUACCUAGUAAGGAUUACAUUCUAAACUUGGCCAACUCUACGCUCAACCCACGUUACAGAACUAAAGUAGACGCAACACCAACCCAGGCUACUAGCCUUGUGGAUAUCGCCUAUACAAAACUUAAUGAGACCUCCUAUGCUCUCACAUUCGAAUUUGAAAUCAGUAAUGUACUCAUGUCUGAGAAACGUGAACUAAGGAAUGAAACCAAAACUUCAAUCAAAAGCACUAUAAAUACAUUGCUUGUCGACAUCCUAAAGGAUCCCUCAGCUUCUCAGUUUGAUCUGCAAAACGUUAAAUUUGAUGAUAAUAGCACAGUGAUUCUGGCCAGUGUGCAGUAUGUUUUCUCACAAAGUGACUUGAACACAAACAGCACCUUUGUCAAGGAAAUAUUCAGUGCUAAGGAAGUCUUAACGACAGCCAGUGCUCUGACAACAAGCACAACUUCUCCGCCAACAUUGCUUGGGAAGGUGAUCAUAUACAUCCGCCUUGUUUUUAAAACACGGGGUACUAUCCCAAGUGAGAGUAACGUUGUAAAUGUGGCUAACACCCUGUUGAGUGGAAUGAAACUGAGAAUUAAACGAUCCCUCACAACAAAACUUCCGACUGAGAAUGUGAACUUUGUGAAUGUCACCUAUACAAAAAUUGAUGAUAACUCCUUCUCUCUGAACUUUGGAUUUGAAAUCAGCAAUGUGUCCAUGUCUGAAAAAGUUGAAUUCAGGAAUGAGACCUACACAGAGAUCCAGAAAUAUAUAAAUUCAUUUGUGUCCACGAUCCUGAAUAAAACAACAACUACUAACUUUAAUUUCAAUGAAAUCGUUUUCAAGGGAAACUCCACCGUGAUUGAGGCCAACGUAGAGUAUGUUUUCACAGACAGUGACAUCGGCAGCUUCGGCUUGGUCUUUACUUUUCUUGGACCUACUACAACAGCCGCUCCAACCACCUAUUACCCCACAGUCCUGACCACUGCAAUCUUAAACAAUAGUACAAACGCAGCAUGGGUUGUGGCUAUCAUUGUCCCCUGCGCUAUUGUCAUUGGGCUCGUACCUUGCUGGAUUCUCCUUUGCGUAAGUAUUUUGAUGAUUGAUUGUCAAAUACGUGCAUUGGAAGUAAAUUGAUUAAUGACAACAUACAAGUGUUACUCUUUUGUCUAAACAAUAGACUUAAAUUUGCCUUUAUAUUCUAUCAUUAUAAAUUAUAUAUAAUGUUUAUAAUGUACAGCUGAUUCAAAAUGUUUUUUACUGUAUAAAAUUCCCUUCCAUGAUGCUAACUCUCACUUUGUCUGUUUCUGUGUUCAGUGUUUGCUGUGUGGUUGCUGUGGAGCAAUCAGGAGACGUUGGCACAGAAGACGGUCAUACAAUGUACAGUACACAACUCGAAACAGCAUCUUCUAGAGAUUUUCAAGAACAGACUUUGAUGCUUAAAAUAUUAAUUUUCCUGUAUUGCUGGGCAUACAGAACCUCUCUAAAUGUGAUGCAACUGUGAUUUAAAAAACAACAACUUCUAUUUAAGGAAUGAUUUUAUUUAUUUAAAAAACUGUUAUGUAAAGUAAUGAGAAUCUUGUUUUCUAAAUGAAAGAUUAAUUUGGUAGUAUGUAUUUAAUGUUAUGGGAAAAAUAUAAAAUGUGUUGAUCACUUCUUUAUUCAAACUUAAUGUACUUUAUCUAAUAUAACAUAUUGCACUCUGAUGACAUAUUUAUGUAUGAAUCCACAAUUCAUCUUUUAAGACUGUAGUUAAAAACUAUAAUUUAAUAAAACAAUUCAAUAUCAAUAUGAGAACA